UUACACUAGUGUUCUUUUAUAAGAUCCAUGUUAACGUCAACAGUAAUGAACAAUUCUUCCAAACGGAUGGAUGGAUUUUUGCUUUUUAUUUCAACAAAAUGCGUAACAAUGUAGUGAUUUUAUUACUUUUCACGAAUAUGCCGUGGUUUUUAAACGUAAUUCAAGAGUAUCAUGCUGCUGCGAUCGUUGAUGGUGACAGUGAUUGUGUCGAUCCUAGCGUGAAUCAUAGUCAUCGUGCUAUUUAUGAAAAAUUUAAUCAAGAAUCAAUGAAAAACAUCUAUGUCCAUUUUCCCAAUGAUGAUACGCAUGAUGAAAAAAAAUUCGACGCGAAGUCGGUUAACAACAGCAUUAGCCAAUCAAAAAGUGAGUGUCUAUGGAAUUUUUCCAUCUCAAGCUGUUCCGUUUUUCAGUAUCCCAUCGGGAAGAUUUCCUUCUAGUUUGACUCCCAACGAUCUUCAAUUCGUAUCAUUUAUCCGUCAUACGUCGAAAUUUCUCACCAAGCCAUCAGUAUACGCUGCUCGCAAAUGCCAAGCCAAUGAAAUAUGGAUACACGAUGGUUGUCGGCCAAAAGAUUAAAGACUAUUUAUUAUAACCAUUGCAUUUGUACAAAUUAAUUGUUAUGUGUCGUGUGAGAAACUGAUUUGCGUUGUAAUUUGUUUUUAAUAGAUGACCAUCACUUGAGAUGGUCGUAUUUACUUGGAGUUUUAUAAUAAAUCAUAAACAAUGAAGCCCUAGGCCACGUGUCUUGAAGUUUUACUCAACAAAAGCGACAUUUACUACAAAACGGAGGUUUAAAGUAUAUUGGAAUACACAUGAUUUUGCAGCUUUUUACUAAUGGAUGUAAGAUCUAAGUAGUUCUUGUUCAAGGUGUAGUCAAAUUCUACGGGCGUAGUAAAACUUGACUCAAUCGUAACACUAUUGACAGAAAAACACCGGGGAUAAUUAGUAUACUUGAACAACAGACCGCUGAUUAUGAGAUAUCACAGCAUCGUCUUGAGUUGCGCAAGUUACGCUUCAAAACAGCUCCUGGGCCCAUAUGUACCAACAGGGAGGUACUUGUUUGCCAGCGGGUGGGCGAACUUGUUAACAAGAUCGGCUUUGGUGACUACGAGGACCGAGCGAGCGUGACAACGUGCGCAACUUUUGGCAAAACCAAUAUCAGCUGAAACAUUAAAGGACACGUGCCACGUACGCGAUCUGGUGAAGCUGAUUAUCAGAUACUUGAUGACUCUUGCCCAAGUAAUUGUAGGAUA